AACGCACGAGACCUGCGGACCUGCGGAAGGAUCAUUAUUGAAUGUACUUGAUAGGUCUGUAGCUGGUCCUUUGGGGGCAUGUGCACGGCCUAUCUUGGUUUUAUUCAUCCACCUGUGCACCUUUUGUAGUCUUUAUUGGGUCAAUGAACAGUUAACUCAGUCGUGAGGCUGGAAAUGAGGACUAGCUUUGCCACUCCUUGGCUUUUAAGCCUUCCUCUGUUCUGUGAACUUUCCCUCCAA
rnacentral:misc_RNA from 1 species